rnacentral:rRNA from 1 species
GACAGAGGUGCCGAGCGUUAGGCGGAAUCACUGGGCUUAAAGCGUGUGUAGGCGGAUGCCUAAGUACCUUGUGAAAUCCCACGGCUCAACCGUGGAACUGCUUGGUAUACUGGGUGUCUUGAGCCACUUAGGGGCAAGCGGAACAAAUGGUGGAGCGGUGAAAUGCGUAGAUAUCAUUUGGAACGCCAAUGGUGAGAACAGCUUGCUGGGAGUGUGCUGACGCUGAGACACGAAAGCCAGGGGAGCGAACGGG